rnacentral:rRNA from 1 species
GCUUGUCUCAAAGAUUAAGCCAUGCACGUCUAAGUAUAAGCGAUUAUACUGUGAAACUGCGAAUGGCUCAUUAUAUCAGUUAUAGUUUAUUUGAUGGUCCUUGCUACUUGGAUAACCGUAGUAAUUCUAGAGCUAAUACAUGCAUAAAUCCCCGACUGCUUGGAAGGGGUGUAUUUAUUAGAUGGAAACCAAUUCGGGGUAACCCGGUUUAUGGUGAUUCAUGGUAACCGAACGAAUCGCACGGCACCAGCUGGCGAUGGACCAUUUCAGUUUCUGACCUAUCAGCUUCCGACGGUAGGAUAUGGGCCUACCGUGGCAAUGACGGGUAACGGAGAAUUAGGGUUCGAUUCCGGAGAGGGAGCCUGAGAAACGGCUACCACAUCUAAGGAAGGCAGCAGG